rnacentral:lncRNA from 1 species
UUUACGAUAUCCAAUAGAUAUGAGAAACUCUUGUAAACUUUUUAUGAUCGAUUUAGUUUUUCGUUAUUUUAAAUUUAAUUAGAUAAUAAAUUAUUACAAGAAUAUUAAUAAUACAUUUGCUAAGUACUCUAGACUAAUAAAAGUGUUUUGGUAAAGCCCCUAUGAUAUUGAACCAGCGAUGGAUAGAGCACUUUAUUAACUUGAAUAUAAUAUGUUCAUGUCUAUAGAUUGAUGUAACUUAGAUAUAAUAUGUUCAUGUCUAUAGAUUAAUGUAACUUAGAUAUAAUAUGUGAUACUUGAUUCUUACGUAGACAAGAGCACUUCAUGAUUAUUUUGGUACGAACAACAUGAAACAAUAGGUUUUUAGGUGUUCUCAAAAAAAAAAACAAUAGGUUUUAGCAACAACAAAGAAAACAUGAAUUAAAGGCAAGGGCAACCUAAUAAGAGCUUUGUUCGCGUGAGGUAUAUUUUGUGUUUCUUAAUUGAGAACCACCACGUGUUUUAAAUGUAAAAGUUAGGCAAAAACUUGCUACUUGCAGUUUCUCCACACGUCUAUCAAACUAUUGGUAGCAUUAGAAUCUUCUCUUUUUCGUACUUUUGUUUUUCUCUUUUUGGCUCUUUUGCUUAUCUUUCCUGUCUGUACCACACUAAAACUUAUCUUUUCUGUCCUUUAUUAUCUUUAAACGUCUGUUGUCGAUC